rnacentral:tRNA from 1 species
CAGAUUAGAGCUUGGUAAAAGCACUUUAUUUACAUUGAAGGGUUAAUUGUGAAAUUCAAUUUAAUUUGA